GGGCGCAUGGUGGCUUAGUGGUUAGCACAUUCGGCUCAUUCCUCCAGGGUCCAGGGUUCGAGUCCAUGUGUGGGCG